AAAUACUCUUGCCUUCACUCAUCACUACUCACUCACUCACUCUUGAGUCUUCUUGUCUUCAUAAUUCUUAAUCCAAAGAUGGCCAUGCAUUUCGGGCCCCUGUUACAAUUACAUGCAAUUUUCUUGCUUGUUUUUCUAGCAUUUCAUGCAUCAAGCUGUGAACAAGAGGACUACUGGCAGAUGAAGCUACCAAAAGUCCCUAUGCCACAAGCUAUCACGGACAAUCUAUUUCAUCCUAAAGAUAAUUUCUCCCACU